rnacentral:rRNA from 1 species
GACGAACGCUGGCGGCGUGCUUAACACAUGCCAGUCGAACGGAAAGGCCCUGCUUUUGUGGGGUGCUCGAGUGGCGAACGGGUGAGUAACACGUGAGUAACCUGCCCUUGACUUUGGGAUAACUUCAGGAAACUGGGGCUAAUACCGGAUAGGAGCUCCUGCUGCAUGGUGGGGGUUGGAAAGUUUCGGCGGUUGGGGAUGGACUCGCGGCUUAUCAGCUUGUUGGUGGGGUAGUGGCUUACCAAGGCUUUGACGGGUAGCCGGCCUGAGAGGGUGACCGGCAAAGUGGGGACUGGGAGACGGCCCAGACUCCUAGGGAGGGAGGCGGGGGGGAUGUUGGCAGAGGGGGGGGAAGCCUGAUGCAGCAACCCCGCGUGGGGGAUGACGGCUUUCGGUUUGAAAACCGCUUUCGCCGGGGACGAAGCGGGGGUGACGGUAAGGGGUAAAGAAGCACCGGCUAACUACGUG